ensembl:lncRNA
CCUGAACACACCUCCAGGCUGUGUAAGGGCUAUUUUACCAAGAAGGAGAGUGAUGGAAUCACCCGACCUAAACCCAAUUGAGAUGGUUUGAGAUUAGUUGGACCGCAGAGUGAAGGAAAAGCAGCCAACAAGUGCUCAGCAUAUGUGAGAACUCCUGCAAGACUGUUGAAAAGCAUUUCUCAUGAAGGUGGUUGAGAAUGCCAAGAAUGUGCAAAGCUGUCAUCAAGGCAAAGGGUGGCUACUUAAAUCAAAAUAUGUUAUAUUCUUCUAACACUUGUUUGGUUACUACUUGAUUCCAUAUCUGUUAUUUCAUAGUUUUUAUUCUACAAUGUAGAAAAUAGUAAAAAUCAAGAAACCCUGGAAUGAGUAGGUGUCCAAACUUUUGACGCGUACUGUACAUGGAUAUUUCACUAGGCCUAUAGGCUGCAUCUGAGCAACAACAAAAACAUUUCAGGCUAUCCCGUUAAAACAACUAGAGACUACAGAAUGUGCACGUUGUAAUUACAAUUUGAAUCUUAAUUGACGGCUUUCUAACUGUCCUUUUUGUGAGGCGCAGCCAGGAAAUAGUUUUGUCCAAUGGCGAGUGGUGGGGUCGAUUAACCAAGAGGAUUCUCCAUCACCAGUUUGGGAACAUUUUGGCUUCCCAGUAAGAUUAUUGCGAGGAUGGACACAGAGUAUAUUGCCAGUGCUGGAAGAGAAUAGCCUAUGCAGCUGCCAACACCUCAACAUGUUGACACAGUUACUCCGACAUCAUGCCAGUAUUCCUACCACCAGAACAAGACGGCAACUCAAAAAAACAACGCAACGUCGUCUCCCCGCUGCAUUCAAGCAGCCCUUCGCAGCUGAUUCUGACCGGGCCAAAAUAAACAAAUGACAAGAGCGAUAGGUAUGUUUAUUGCCAUGGUAAUGCGCCCAUUCUCUGUGGUUGAGAAGAAUAAGGCGUUUCAGCACUUCUUGAAAGUGCUCGAGCCACGUUACGAACUUCACCCACUCGCACCCAUUUCAGCAGAUGGGUAGUACCCACUCUAUAUAAGCAAGCUGAAACAGAAGUUGUCAAUAAAUAGGCCAAUGCACCCUGUUGUGCUACAGAUGGAUGGACCUCCUAGGGUGACGUAGAGCUACUUAAGUGACAGCCCUUCACAUUUCCCUCAACUGGGAAAUGAAAAGUACCGCGCUAUAGACAUGCCCCCUUUAUGAGAGUCACACAAGUGCACAUAUUUUUCUCUUUGUAAGAAAACCUUAUAGCAUAGGCUUCUAUAAUGUCUGAGCCAUGUUUACAUGUUGAUUUCAAACACAUAUUGCACUUUAUUUUAGUGUUGAGUAAUUUUGUAUUUUCUUAAAUAAACAAAAAUUAACUGCUGUACCAAAUCCGAACCGUAGCUCGACCACAAAAACCAGGUUCUGUGAACUUUUACACCCCUAAUCAAGGUACCAUCCAUAGCCACCUUGUGACAGGAUGGCAUGUUAUUAAUGUGAUUCCUGUUUGUCUUUAUUCUACCUGUUCACUGCGACAGUUGUGAAUUUGUGCCUGGGUUGUUCUGGGAAUCCCAUGUUGCUCUGUGUUUUAAGGGCAUAGAAACAAUAUUAAAGGUGGGAGAGGAAGGAGCAUCUCUCAGAUUAAGAAUAUCAACAAGACCCCAGCCCACCUUUCUUUUCUAUGGCCAUGCUGGAAGAGUGUAGUGGCAUGGUGUCGUGAGAUGGGCGUGCUCCAAACUACAUGUCAGACAGUGCUGGUCACUGCCAAUGGCAUGCCUUCUUUUUUCAGCAAAUUCUGUGACCGUUGGUCCAUUGGCAUGUAUGAAGACUGACUGCUGCAAGAUGUUGUGUGUUCCCCUAUACUGUAACUAAAGCGGUAAUCCCCAUUCAAAAUAAAUGAAGGAAUUCAUGGGGAAACAGGGUAGCUUGUCAGUUUAAAUGGUUAAAUUUGAACAUUUUCAAUCACAAGUAUGGUGCAGAUAAUCAACCUCAAGUUUGUCCAGUCAAGACAUCUUCAAAACGAAGCCCAUCGUGCAUGUUGUUUUUUAUGUAAAUGUUAAAUGUAUUAGUUUGUCCUUUUUAUGAUUCUUAUAGAAUCUGAAAUCAAGAAUAAUGUCAUGUUUUCUCUCUGAGACCUUCUCAUUAUUUGACUUCCUCUUUGUCAUGAAAGGUGCUUUGCUCCAACUGUUGCUGAUUGGACCCCUGAGUCUUAAAGAAGAACUGAAUCUCGUGUGUGAUUUAUUUGAAGGCUUUGUUUAUUGAUGCAUUUGUUCUCUGAGCUGAAAACUCCCCUGUCGAACAAAUGCCUCCUAGAGGUUUUUCAUUGUAAAUACAACAUUUUGUCAAAGUUAAAAAAAGUGGAAAUUAUCAGCGUCACAUAAGUUGAUAAAAGUGACAUAAAAUAUAUUCAGCAAAUAACCAUAAUGUAUAUCAGCUAAAGCCUCAAAACCGAAGCCAAAACAAAUGUGAAUUUCCUAUGCUUUUAUUAUAACCAGCUACAAACAGCUCUUUGUAUUACAUGCCUGUACAGUUGAAGUCAGAAGUUUAUGUACACCUUAGCCAAAUACAUUUAAACUCAAUUGAGAUGUACAAACUAUGGCCACGCUGUCAAUGAAGCAUGCCAAUGUUGAAUGUUUUAUAAUUUUAAGCUUGGAAAAGACACCCUUAAUCCCAGACUUGGGACCAGAUAGCCACUCCACUGAAUAGCAGGCUAGUGAUUGCUUUGCAAUGCUUGCCGUUAGGAUUUGCCAGUAGAUUGUCGACUUGAUUCAUAAUGAUGACUGCUAGCUAAGAUUUUGAAAGUAUGUUGAUGACAUGAUCUGUCCAAUCAAAGCUACUUUAGAUGAAAUUACGUCAGAUCACAUAUCUGUGGCCAAUGACCUCGAACCUUAUUGGAUGGGCACUUCAAAUGUAACUCUAUGGCAGCACCCAAGGGGCUUGAAUUUUAGAGUUUUACCCUACCCUGACUACACAGCUUGCAAAAAUACAUUUAGAAAUCUAUGUUAUUAAUUUAUUGCACCCACACUGCUGGUGCGCGUCAAUGAGCGCCUGCGUUGCCAAGGGCUAAAAUAGAAGUCCUUUCUAUUUUAUUUUAUUUUUUACCCAAUUUUGUGAAAUCCAAUUGGUAGUUAGUCUUGUCUCAUCGCUGCAACUCCCGUACGGACUCAGGAGAGACGAAGGUCGAGAGCUAUGCAUCCUCCUGGAAGGAGGAGAGAUCAAAUGAAAUGAUUCGGUUGACCAUUAUAUAUGUGGAUUAAUGGUCGGAGUAGGGGACGUUGUGCAUUUCAGGUAAAAUAACAACUCAAUGUUUAUAUCCCAGGACAAAUUUGCUAGCAACAGCAAGCUAGCUAAAUAGGACAAAUGAGCUAGCAAGCUAACUAGCUAAAUUGCCAUACAUGUUUAAUGCUUUUCGACCUGUCCCCAAAUUUAAUGUCAUUGGUUCAGAGUUUGUUUUGAUAUUUUAACCUGCGUGUCGUGAUCACGUUUGGUGUAGUGUUGUACAUUUCAUGUAUUGUUUAGAGUUUUGUCGUGUCUUCGCUGGCAUGCAUAUAAAAUAACAUGUUUGCCUCACCAAGAUUGACAUACUAAAAUUGCCACUGAAAGUAGUCCUGGUGAAUAGUAUGCACAAAACAAUGGUUGUCUUCAUGUAUAUCUCUGGUCAUGCUGUAUUAUUGCAUCCAAAUUGAGUUUCAUUCAUAUUAAAGUAUUUAACUCACCUC